CACUUCCAGAAUGGCAGGCUUACGUCCGUUGCCUUUUCAGAUGACGCUCACCUGGGUCGUGUGUUCCGGACUGCUUGGUUCAUGCCAUGUUGCUGCAGAGGAUCCGCUUACAGCACGGCCGCCAUGGUUGCGCAGAACGCCAAGUUUGGACACAACCAGACAGCUCAUCUGGCAACAUGGAUCCAGCACGACUACGGUGGACGCAACCGGCUGCCUUCAUAAACGUCAGCUGGCAGCCGCCUCACUUGGGCACGACACCACUUCCAGAAUGGCAGGCUUACGUCCGUUGCCUUUUCAGAUGACGCUCACCUAGGUCGUGUGUUCCGGACUGCUUGGUUCAUGCCAUGUUGCUGCAGAGGAUCCGCUUACAGCACGGCCGCCAUGGUUGCGCAGAACGCCAAGUUUGGACACAACCAGACAGCUCAUCUGGCAACAUGGAUCCAGCACGACUACGGUGGACGCAACCGGCUGCCUUCAUAAACGUCAGCUGGCAGCCGCCUCACUUGGGCACGACACCACUUCCAGAAUGGCAGGCUUACGUCCGUUGCCUUUUCAGGCGCCGGAAGUGCUGCCAGCGUCCAGCUGGUGCCACCUGGCACGGAGGCGCUCGCGAAUGGGUGCAGCUAUUGACCAAUAGGAGAGGAGGUCACCAGCGACCUUGAUCUACACGGACGCCACUCUUCACAGGUGCUUCUGGUUCCGGACUUCAAGCAUGGAUCGACAGUCAAGAGUUGCCGCGCAUCCUCCACACGCAGACGCCGUCGUAGUGCAACAAAGAGGAGGCAUUUCUACCAGCUAUGCCACCGGAAGAAAAGAGGUUCCUGGCCAAAGCCCAGCCAGCUUGCACGGGGCGGAAACACUAUCGGCACAUUGUGCCUGGUUGCUACCUUUUUAAGGUUUUGGUUUAGGUGAUGCAUAUAGGGCAACACUUCUGGAUGACUCCUAUUAACCGCGCAGCAUUCACCCGGGAACGGGCUGCUUUUGUUUUACGAAGAAGAACCUCUGCAAUCGCCGCCACGACCGCGGAAGCUUUCACUGCAUUAAGAAGUCACCUGAUAAAUAAAACUACUCUACUAUACAUGUGGGCACAAUUUUCCGAGAGCAGAUUCCACCAAACUUUAGCGAUUCCGCUCUUAACUAACCUUAGACAGCGCAGAAUCAUAUGGCAACGGAGACUUUGGUGCUACACACCCAAGAUACGUCUUCACCUAGAAACAAGCAUAAAUAUAAAAAAACUGCUGUGAGGCCUGAGACGGUCUCUCGUGGUUGAAGGACAAGCUCUUACCACGUUGCCGAUACGCGCAAAGCAUCAAAAUAACAGACUUGUCUUAACCCGCGUGGAACUCCUAUAAAAGGUUACAAAAAGAAACAUCUACUUGCCUAUAAACGUCGAGAAGAAUACUCUUGUCUAGAAGACUAUUCAAACAAUGGUCAACGUCCGCUAAGAUCUUGCAAAGAACUUGCGCAACGGAAGGGCCAAUGCAAAUGCCAUGUCACCGGCCUUGUGUACAGAACCCUUGUUCUCAAUUCCAGACCCUCCUCGUUUACUCCUGCACCUUCGCUCCU